UACGAAGGGUGCAAGCGUUACUCGGAAUUACUGGGCGUAAAGGGCUCGUAGGCGGCCAACUAAGUCAGACGUGAAAUCCCUCAGCUUAACUGGGGAACUGCGUCUGAUACUGGAUGGCUUGGAUUCGGGAGAGGAAUGCGGAAUUCCAGGUGUAGCGGUGAAAUGCGUAGAUAUCUGGAGGAACACCGGUGGCGAAGGCGGCAUUCUGGACCGAUAUUGACGCUGAGGAGCGAAAGCCAGGGGAGCAAAGCGGG
rnacentral:rRNA from 1 species